GACGAACCGUGCGAACGUUGUCCGGAAUCACUGGGCGUAAAGGGCGCGUAGGUGGCGCCCCAAGUCGAUGGUGAAAGCUCGCCGCUUAACGGCGAGUCGGCCACCGAUACUGGGUUGCUUGAGCACUGUAGAGGCUAAUGGAAUUCCGGGUGUAGCGGUGGAAUGCGUAGAGAUCCGGAAGAACGCCGGUGGCGAAGGCGGUUAGCUGGGCAGUUGCUGACACUGAGGCGCGACAGCGUGGGGAGCAAACAGG
rnacentral:rRNA from 1 species